rnacentral:rRNA from 1 species
AUUGAACGCUGGCGGCAGGCCUAACACAUGCAAGUCGAGCGGAUGAAGGGAGCUUGCUCCUGGAUUCAGCGGCGGACGGGUGAGUAAUGCCUAGGAAUCUGCCUGGUAGUGGGGGAUAACGUCCGGAAACGGGCGCUAAUACCGCAUACGUCCUGAGGGAGAAAGUGGGGGAUCUUCGGACCUCACGCUAUCAGAUGAGCCUAGGUCGGAUUAGCUAGUUGGUGGGGUAAAGGCCUACCAAGGCGACGAUCCGUAACUGGUCUGAGAGGAUGAUCAGUCAAACUGAAACUGAAACACGGUCCAGACUCCAACGGGAGGCAGAGGUGGGGAAUAUUGGACAAUGGGCGAAGCCCUGAUCAAGCAUGCCGCGUGUGUGAAGAAGGUCUUCGGAUUGUAAAGCACUUUAAGUUGGGAGGAAGGGCAGUAAGUUAAUACCUUGCUGUUUUGACGUUACCAACAGAAUAAGCACCGGCUAACUUCGUG